GCCUUGAGUACACCCUCACAGCGCUGCUCGUGGGGCAAGCAUGCCUGGGAGAUGACCUGGGGCACCACGCCCUGCCUAUCUCAGACAAGGAACUCCAGGCAGCAGUGGCGAAGCUAAGCAGCUCCAUCCUUAAGGGGCGGAGGCCGGCUCAUAUUUGCCUAUUAGGGCCGUGGGACGCCGAGGUUCUGCUGGGUCCCUCCUGGAAAUAGAUCCUUCCCAGCCAGCACCCGAAGUCAGCAGCAGAGGGCAAAGCACCUGGGCUUUAUUUAGCUCCAAGCUCCACGAUCCUCCUGGGACUGAGAUAUCUUUGUCAUUUACCUGGGAUUUACAGGGACCAAAAAGCUGGACAUCAUUCACCACUGGGAACAGCAUAUUGUUCCUGGAAGAGGCAAAAGCCUAGGGCUUCAAGAUGCCGGGGCUUUAAGAAACCAAGGCAUGACCUCAAGUGAUUUGCCGGAGGUGGCCUCGGUGGCAGCAGUCAUUGAAGAAAGGAAGACAGCUGCCCAGCCAGUCUGACAGACCAUACACAGACAGCCCUGUUCACAGGGAGGGUGCAUCUGAGAUCAAUGGCCAAAGAAAAUGGGCUCUGAACAGUGCUUCACUGUCACAUCCAGGAUCUGGAAAGUUGUAUUUGAGUGCUGGGUUUGAUAUACGUUAACUAGAAGAUAAAACAUGCCGACUAUGGCUAGCAGACACAGUGCCCCAUCAUGCCUGAACAAAAAGAUAUUUUAUACCAGAAGUGCGGAACAGGAUUUUUUGCAGUUUUGCUAGAAUCCUUGUCACAGUGCUUAAUAAUGUUACAUCAUUUAGAUAAUAAUUUUUCUAGUUUUCAGUUUACCUAAUAGUACGUGUUCAAUUAUUUUAUGGAGCUUUUUCAAUCAGAACAACAUCGUACCUGUCUUUUCAGUGUAUUAUUCCCAAAUAAAAGUUUAACCUCUUUUCGGAAUCU
ensembl:lncRNA LINC02057 long intergenic non-protein coding RNA 2057